rnacentral:misc_RNA from 1 species
GAUGAAGAACGUAGCGAAAUGCGAUACGUAGUGUGAAUUGCAGAAUUCAGUGAAUCAUCGAAUCUUUGAACGCACAUUGCACCUCUCGGUAUUCCGGGAGGUAUGCCUGUUCGAGCGUCAUUUGUACCCUCAAGCUCUGCUUGGUGUUGGGUGUUUGUUCCGCCUCUGUGUGUGAACUCGCCUCAAAACAAUUGGCAGCCGCCGUACUUGUUUCGGAGCGCAGCACAUUUUGCGAUCCAGAUCAACGUACAGCGGCAUCCAAGAAGCCUUAUUUAACGCUCUUGACCUCGGAUCAGGUAGGGAUACCCGCUGAACUUAAGCAUAUCAAUAAGCGGAGGA